rnacentral:rRNA from 1 species
UACGUAGGGGGCGAGCGUUGUCCGGAUUUAUUGGGCGUAAAGAGCGUGUAGGCGGCUUGGUAGGUCUCGCGUCAAAACCUGAGGCUCAACCUCAGUUCGCGUGGGAAACCACCUAGCUAGAGUCCGGAAGAGGAGAACGGAAUUCCCAGUGUAGCGGUGAAAUGCGCAGAUAUUGGGAAGAACACCAGUGGCGAAGGCGGUUCUCUGGGACGGUACUGACGCUGAGACGCGAAAACGUGGGGAGCGAACAGG